GCGUGCCAGAGCCUCAGGCCCGUGUUUGAGGUGUGGGAGAAGUCGUUGUGCUCGAGCGUGUUGUCGUCCGAAUCGACGAGCACGCA
rnacentral:tRNA from 1 species